rnacentral:rRNA from 1 species
UACGGGGGGGGCAAGCGUUGUUCGGAAUUACUGGGCGUAAAGGGCUCGUAGGCGGCCGACUAAGUCGGACGUGAAAUCCCCAGGCUCAACCUGGGAACUGCGUCCGAUACUGGAUGGCUUGAAUUCGGGAGAGGGAUGCAGAAUUCCAGGUGUAGCGGUGAAAUGCGUAGAUAUCGGAAGGAACACCAGUGGCGAAAGCGGCUUCCUGGUCCAGCACCGACGUUCAGGCACGAAAGCGUGGGGAGCAAACAGG